rnacentral:rRNA from 1 species
CUCAGGACGACGCUGGCGGUGUGCUUCACACAUGCAAGUCGAACGAGGUAGCAAUACCUAGUGGCGGACGGGUGAGUAACGCGUGGGAAUCUGCCUUUAGAUGGGGGAUAACGAGCCGAAAGGUUCGCUAAUACCGCAUAUGCCGCAAGGUGAAAGGAGUAAUCCGUCUGAAGAUGAGCCCGCGUCCGAUUAGCUAGUUGGUGGGGUAAAGGCCUACCAAGGCGACGAUCGGUAGCUGGUCUGAGAGGAUGAUCAGCCACAAUGGGACUGAGACACGGCCCAUACUCCUACGGGAGGCAGCAGUGGGGAAUUUUACGCAAUGGGGAAACCCUGACGUAGCGACACCGCGUGAGCGAAGAAGCCCCUUGGGGUGUAAAGCUCUGUCAGCUGGAACGAAACAAAUGACGGUACCAGCAGAGGAAGCAUCGGCUAACUACGUG